CCUCCGUCGUCCCCCAACCGACAACGGCACAUAUAGACAGCUAUACGUGACCCGAUCGGAGCCGUCCACCACCCGAACCGACUCCGUGAUCGAGAAUCCACCAAGCACCAACCACCCUCUCUCUUAUAUACGCGUUUCCCUCGCACCGUUCUCUCCUGCUCCCGUCACCGCCCGUCGCAGGGACGGCUCAUCUUGGUUCCGUCGCGGGGAUCGUGAGUGGUGGACGAUUCGCCUCUCCAAAUACAUGUCUAUCCCUUAAGCGAAGGGAUUUUGUGUCCUUCCGCUUGUGACGGCUGAAUCGGUUGAUGCGUCAGAUCCGUCAGUUUAUGUCAUCUGCUUCCUGUUCGCAUGCCGCUGUGGAUGUUUGUCUCCGUGGAACGCCACCCCUGCUGGUUCAUCUUCACUGGUUUAUGAUGCCCACGGCCAACGCCAACUGAUAUCUUCUCCGACGACGGUUGGUGGUUAAGCUGAAGAAUGCUUUCUUGAGUCUUUCUCGUAAGGCGCCAGAAGGAAACGGGCCAUCCAAUAUAUGGUUUCUGUUUGCCGAUCAAAUGAUGUACGUGUUCCCUUCUGCUCACAAGAUGAUUCUGGCCUGUCUCCAAACAUCACAGAAAGGUAAUUGUGUUGGUAAGCUGAUGAUGCGCAUGCGAGGACGUGCGUAUUGUACAACUUGAUGUACCAAUACAUUGGUAGGGUAGGACGGCCUUUGCCAUGUCGGGUGCGCUCGCUUGGCAGGCCACAAGACAAUAAAAAGUAUAUUUGGUGGUGUUUGCGGGGUGGAGAUCGCACGGGAACAAUCUAUUUGUUCUAUUUUGCCCGGGUUCUCCACCCUGCCAUGGUGUCUCUGUCCUUCUCCUGUGUUGUUGAUUCCACCGCAUCAUCUGAAGUACACCGCGAUCCUACAUAGCUAAUAUGUGAACAGGCCUGGGCGCAGCGGUAACUACGUUGUGAGGAUCAAUUUAACUACGCACGAAGGUACAUCUAACUACUUCUUUCAGCGUUAUAUCAAUUUAAAUUUUAAGUGACCCAGAAACGUUAGUGCUUUUCUGAAGGGUCAAUCUGAACUGACCUCAAAGUUGUCGAUCAAAAAAUUCUUGUGCACUUCAUCUCAACUAAAUGAGUUAACUGUACAUGGUGGAUCUUCAGUUCAAUACAAGGUUGAUCAUACCUGUAAUUUUGUACCCUUGCACCCCAAGAAUGAAAAUAGGGAAAUUCCCACGAGCCAACCAUCUACUUAUGCAACACAGGCUAAGUGAUCCUGAGAACUUUUAGUAACUCUGCAUAUCUAUUUUAUCUUGCCAUGCCGUGUUCAUAGUCUUGUGAUCCUAAUAAGGCGAGUUGCUUGUCUGUUGGUUGCCAUGAGUAGUUCUGUAUGUAUAUACCAUUGAAAGACUUGAUUCCUUUUUGUACGACUUGUUAGUCUUCGAAAUUUAUCUGUACUUUAGUUACUGGAGCUUGUCCAGAUGUUGCUGCUGCAUCAUACUACCUCUCGUGGAAAGUUGGAUUCCUCUUUGAGGAUUACUGGAGGCAGAUCUUCAUAUCUAAUGAAGUUGCAGACAAGUUAUGAUUUUCGAUGCCAUUUUCGCUCUCAAGAAAUGUUGCUCGUGUUUGAUAUACCGAAACCUGAAUUGAAGAAUUAAAUUGGGUUGAUAUAUUCUGUACGGUGCAGGCGCUGCGUCGAGGAAGCCUGGGGCUUAAAUUGCAUUAUGUAAGAUUAGAGAAUCCAGCGAAUGGUUUUUUCAUAGCUUACUGAAUGUCGUUCUAAUUUAUUUUAGUAAGCAGGCAAAUUCAAAUUGGCUGAAUGUCGUUUCAAGUUAGAUUGGAUUGGAGAAUUUUGCUCUGCAUGGCUGGUCUGAAUUGGCUUGAUCUUUUUUGAUUUGUCAAACAAAUCUAUAAUUUAAUUUGUCUUCUAACAUUUGUCUAACAAGCUCUGCAUUCUUCUGACAUUUGUCUUAACAAGAUUGUUAAAAACAAAUUUAUGUAUUUUUUUAGUAAGCAGGCUUAUUCAAAGUGGGCUUGUCACUCAUUCAAUUUGAUUGGAGAAUCUUGGGGCUGUGCUCGAGUCUGAAAUGGCUUGAUCUGCAUAUUUUGUCUACUUCAAAGUUAAAAGAUGAAUAAAUGGU